rnacentral:rRNA from 1 species
CGAGCGGAUCAUUCCUUCGGGAAUGGUUAGCGUGCGGACGGGUUGAGUAACACGAUAGGCAACCUGCCUGCUAAGAUCGGGAUAACUACCGGAAACGGUAGCUAAGACCGGAUAGCUGGUUUUCUCGCAUGGGAGAAUCAUGAAACACGGCGCAAGCUGUGGCUUACAGAUGGGCCUGCGGCGCAUUAGCUAGUUGGUGGGGUAACGGCUCACCAAGGCGACGAUGCGUAGCCGACCUGAGAGGGUGAUCGGGCACACUGGGACUGAGACACGGCCCAGACUCCUACGGGAGGCAGCAGUAGGGAAUCUUCCGCAAUGGACGCAAGUCUGACGGAGCAACGCCGCGUGAGUGAUGAAGGUUUUCGGAUCRUAAAGCUCUGUUGCCAGGGAAGAACGCCCGGGAGAGUAACUGCUCUCGGGGUGACGGUACCUGAGAAGAAAGCCCCGGCUAACUACGUGCCAGCACCCGCGGUAAUACGUAGGGGGCAAGCGUUGUCCGGAAUUAUUGGGCGUAAAGCGGCGCACGCGGUUACUUAACUUUGGUGUUUAAGGCCGGGGCUCAACCCCGGUUCGCACUGAAAACUGGGUGGCUGGAGUGCAGGAGAGGAAAGGGGAAUUCCACGUGUAGCGGUGAAAUGCGUAGAGAUGUGGAGGAACACCAUUGGCGAAGGCGACUUUCUGGACUGUAACUGACGCUCGAGGCUCGAAAGCCUGGGGCAGCAAACAGGAUUAAGAUUACCCCUGGUACUCCCCCGCCUGCUAAACGAUGAGUGUUAGGGUUUAGGGGUUUUAUUCCCCUUGGUGCCGGAAGUUAACCCCUUAAGCCUUCCGCUUGGGGAGUCCGUUCUCAAGAAGGAAAUUCAAAGGAAUUUCCGGGGACCGCCCCAACCGUGGAGUAUGUGUUUAAUUGGAAACAACCAAAGACCCUUUCCAGGUCUGGACAUCCUUUGAAUCCCUAGAGAUAAGACCGCCCUUCGGGCCGUGGAACCAGUAGUAACAGGUUGUGUCACUUGUUUCCUCUCAGGUGGGGUAAAUUCCGCCACGAAGGGCACCCCUGGCUUUAAUUGCCAACCAUUCAGUUGGGCACUCUAGAGUGACUGCCGGUGACAAACCGGAGGAAGGUGGGGAUGACGUCAAAUCAUCAUGCCCCUUAUGACCUGGGCUACACACGUACUACAAUGGUCGGUACAACGGGAAGCGAAGCUGCGAAGUGGAGCCAAUCUUUAGAAGCCGAUCUCAGUUCGGAUUGCAGGCUGCAACUCGCCUGCAUGAAGUCGGAAUUGCUAGUAAUCGCGGAUCAGCAUNCCGCGGUGAAUACGUUCCCGGGUCUUGUACACACCGCCCGUCACACCACGAGAGUUUACAACACCCGAAGUGCGGUGGGGAACCCGCA